AAAUAAUGGUAAUUCAGUGGACUCAACAGACAUGGCCAAAUGCCGGUGUGCACAAAGAAUCUGCCCACUUUGAGCAUAAUCCCCACACUGCUACCGCCGAGAUUCAAACAUUGAUCUCUUCUCCCAAAUACUGCAAACUAAACUAUUGACCACCCUAAGAUAAUAACAUGCGAACUGACCAAACAUG